GGUUUCACCCGAAGAUGGUGCGCUAACCUUUUAGGAGGCAGCCAGCCACGGUGGGAUCAGCGACUGGGGUGAAGUCGUAACAAGGUAGCCGUAGGGGAACCUGCGGCUGGAUCACCUCCUUU
rnacentral:rRNA from 1 species